UACGUAGGGUGCGAGCGUUACUCGGAAUUACUGGGCGUAAAGCGUGCGCAGGCGGUUUUGUAAGCCAGAUGUGAAAGCCCCGGGCUUAACCUGGGAAUGGCAUUUGGGACUGCAAGGCUAGAGUGUGGCAGAGGAGACUGGAAUUCCUGGUGUAGCAGUGAAAUGCGUAGAUAUCAGGAGGAACACCGGUGGCGAAGGCGGGUCUCUGGGCCGAUACUGACGCUGAGGAGCGAAAGCGUGGGGAGCGAACAGG
rnacentral:rRNA from 1 species